rnacentral:lncRNA from 1 species
UGAGGGAAAAGGAAGGAACGCUAUAACAGUUAGGGCAAUUUCAGAAAAAAGGAAAGAAGAAAGAGCAGGAGCUGGCAGAGAAGGAGUACAUCUCGACAAAGAUGAAGCAGGAGGUGGCGAUUCGGGGGUGGAAGCCGUGCGCUCCAAUAGGCUUAGGGACCAAGAAAUUUUCGUGGAAGGCAAGGUGCUCUGCCUAUAAAACUCGGUCUCUCCUCCCUUCUUCUUCCUUACUGCCGAGCCCAGUCUUCUUCUUCUUCUCCCCUCACCGUCCGGUCAAACCACCUUACCCUUUUGCCGAAAUUAUCUAACAUUUGCCCUGUUCUUUCCGGCCGAAUCCAAGCUACCUAGUCUAUACCAAGUGUGAAUUUGAUUAGCAAGCAGAUAAAAAGGUAUAACAAUCAAAUCUUUUCUAUUUCAGUUAAAUAAGAUCAAUUAGUGAAUUGAUCUUUCCCACUUGGGUUUGGGGUCUUUCCCACUUAACCAAUUCACUAAUUAGUGAAUUCACUUCAACUCAAAAGCUCGGGAGUUUAAAUAUUGCUUUACUGACUACAAGUGGUUAAGUAUAAAAAACCCCAAACUCAGAUGGUGAUAUGAAAUUUACUCUUUUUUUUAAUUCGUAAAAACAGUUAGGAUUGGUAAGUUUAUCAGAGUUAUAAUUUUGGUUAAUGAAGUUAAGAUUGUUAGUUUUGAACAGAUAUCAAUUAAUUGAGUCAUUUACUGUGAUUGAAUAAUGAAGUUAAAUUUGUUGCUAAAACAGUUAAUUGUUAUCAAACUGGGAUAAUGAAAACCAUUCAUGAUUGUGGUACUGUGGUUGGAAACUGACAUGAAAUUUUAACUGGAAAACAGAUAACAGUAUGUGGCUGAGCAUUGGCAUACAUCAAUUAUGUAUGUUUUGUUAAUAUAUGGAGUUAGAAAGUUUCAUGUAUAUAUUUUUUUGCAAAUGAGUAAGGUUGGUAAGUUGGGUUAGUCUUAAAAGUCAGUUUGUAUGUAUAUAAUUUUGAAAAUCAGUUGGUGUAUUAUAUUAGGAUCAUGCCCAUAUUAUAUGUUGGAGUUAUGAUUGAUUGUGAUAGAAGACUUUCAUGCUCCAUAUAUUAAAGUUUGCAAGUUGGAGUUUUUGAAAUCAAUUAGUUUACUAAAUAGUUGGUUAUAUAUAUAUGAAUUGAUAGUGCAAAUGGUUGCUAUGGACCAGAAAUAGAGCAUAGGGGAUAGGUUUGGUUGUGAGGAGAUAUAAGGAGGUUAAAAUGGGAUUAUAGCACAAACAAAUGGCUAUGGUACAAAGGUUUCAAAACAACGCACACAUAGUGCUUGACAAAAUUACUUAAAUGGACUGUUUUGAUUAAAAACCAAGUAUUAGGUAAAACUAAGGCUUGGGCUAGAUCUAUGUAUGUUAUAUGAUGAUAAGUAAAGAGUUUGGGCGUACUAAGUUAGAACGAAAAACAAUUUUAAGUGAAAAUGGAAAAUCAAAAGUUAAUAUAUUGAGCUUAAUAUUUUAAAAUAGUAGUUUUAUACGUUAUGUUUAUCAUGUUCAAAAAGGGAUGUAAUCCAAGAUAGGAGUUAGAAAUUUAAAUUGAUCAAAUUUACAUUGCUGUGCUGUAGCAGCAAUGGGCUGUAGCAGCACGCUGCAGGGUAGCAUGUGGGGGCCUCCUUUGCGCUCUCAAAUGAUGUGUUAUUUACCCAAAAUGUAUGGUUGUUAUUUUAUAUAAUUGGCAGGUAUACCACCUAUAUAAUACCCAAAAUUCAGUGUAAAUGGGCUAAUAUAUUGCAAGUUAUAAAUUAGUGAAAUAAGAAGGUUAGAAAAGAAGCUGCUGCCCAAUUGCAGCAGCGAGUAGCAAUCAUCAGUAGCAGCUUUGGCUGUGUUGAUGAGCCAUUUUGACUUUAUAAUUUAAUUGAUAGUUACCCAUAAGGUUUAGGUUAUAUUUUCCUAUAUAGACAAGUACACGAGUUAUAAAGUAUUUAAAAUUCCAAAUAAUUUAAUUAGUAAUCUUCAAGAUAAAAGCUAUCAAAGGAGGGCAUCUAACUUUGGGGCUGUUAAGCUAACUUUGGGGCAGUUAAGAUAAGUAAGGGGCUGUUAUGCUUCAAGGAACUGUUUUGACAUCAUUUUGAGUCGCGAUAGUAUUUAACGCGAUAGUUUUUUAAAAUGAAUCUAUAAAUUAUUACGGAAGAUAUAAUUUACUCAUACAAGUUAUAAUGACACUCAAAAUGUAAAAUACGCUUUAAACACACUUUAUAUAUUCGAGUUAUAUAAAAGAAGUAUGGAAUAUACAUGUAUUAAGUUUCGAGUGAGUUAUAAACUGAAAUUAUGAUGUAUUCGCAUACUAAAAUCAUGUCGAAGUUUAUUAAAGCGAAAAAUGAUGAUUGCAAGUAAAAGGAUGAAGUAUUUGAAAAACAAAAUAUAUGUAAAAGUUUUUCAAAAGCUAAAACACAAGCUAAUGGUGUGGCCAAUAUAAACAUUUAAUAUAUAACUAUACAAGUUAUAUGACAUGGUUACAUGGCUAAUAUGUUUAUAUAUGUAAAUGUGAUUGUAUAGGAUCCGUGAAAGAAAGUUAAGCUGAACUUUAUUACAAUAGUCAACAAACGAGGCAAGUAUCUUAACCUUUUCAUUUGCUUUAUGCAAUGGAUCUUUGUAAGCAAAUAUUAUAUCUAUAACUUCCCAAAUUCUGUACAAGCAAGUUCUUGAACUUUAUUCAAUCUAAUUACAAGUAUCUCAAUAUUGUUCUCAUAUGAUUCAUAUAUAAUCAAAAUUGUUCUAUUCUUUGUGUAUUGAGUUUGGUUAUGCAAGUGUCCUCACUUGUAUAACCAAACUCUCGGGGUUGGAACUGGAUCUCUCGGGGUUAUUUCCGGGUUUGGAACUGAAUCUCCCGGGGUUAUCUCCGGUGUUGGAACUGGUUUAACUUCCAGGGUUUCUGCCCUCCUGUAAGGUUAGUAACAGGAAUGCAAAAUUUCGAAUGUCUACAAAUGUACAUAAACAAUCAACAACAUAUACAGGUUGUAUUGAAUUACAAAUCCACCGAACAAGCCAAUGAAAACAACAGAUAUGAAUAAAACUAAACCUAAAAAGAAUGUACAGCUAAGCCUAAUCACAGCUGAACAUGAUUACUGUAGAAGACUACAAAAGUUCAUAUUCAAUUUAGUUAUAAGAAAAAGAGAAUUUAUUAAACUUUAGCUCUACCCAAAUGUGGAUAAAAUGACGCUAAACACAAAUUGUUCACGUUUCUAGGUAAUGAUCGAAUAAAUCAGAGCUGGAACAAAUGACAAUUCUAAACAGAUAUUCGUUUCUGGCCAACACAAAAUAAACAUAUAGAGAUCCAUACAAAUAUAUAUAUUGAUAUUGAAAGAGAAUUACAAGCACAUCAUGUUUCUACAAAACACAAACAUAGGAUAACACAAGUAACAAAGAGUAUUACCAUAAGCCACAAGUCUAAAACAGUACAUAACGUUAACUAAAAGGGGAUUAGAACAAACAACAAUCGAAACCCCCCUCAGCAAUACUCAUCAAUCAGAUACAUACUUAUAGAAGAAAAUCCAACUUAAGAAAAACAAAUGAGAUUGAGUUGCACACCAUUUUCUAGGGCACAAAAGUUUGAAAAAAGCUAGCAAAUACAAAAGAACCCCUGCAAUCAGAAGAAAGUUGGUAAGAGAAUGAAUUGGAUUUGCAAUUAUAUACGGAAAACACAAGAAAUAUAUAUUUGGGGAAUAACGAAUCGAUUGUGAAAACAAUUAAUUGAUUGAGGUUUAAAACUAAGCAUCCAGCCCUCAAACAAAAUAACCUAGCCAACCACGAAAAGAACUUGUGAAGAAAUCUAGUCCGUUUCUCAUAAGAAAUCAAGUAAAACCACAAAUUAGAUAUGUACCUAGUGAGGCUAAUUGAUUCCAUUGAACCAAACAUUUCAAGAUAUGUAUAGGUAUUUUGACUUAUUGGAUGCACCAAGAAUUUCUCUCCAAGUUUCCACCAUCUGAUUCAUGGUCUCCCUCACUACCUUUACUUGUUCGGUCACCAAAGCAUCAAUUAAUGGUUUAGCAAUCGAUGUGAGUUGGGUUACGAAAUUGAGCUAAUGGCGGUGACGCAGGUGAAGCGGACUGCCGAAUCGGGGUCACAGAGGCGGCAGAUUAUAGAGGAGAGGAGUUUGGAGAGCUAGAUUAGGGAUGACAGAGGAGAGGCCUUCUUUGUUUUUCUUAAAAGCCUCCAUAUUUCAUUUGUCAAAACCUCCGUGUUUUUUCAAGUUAUAUAUACUCGUUUUCUCGUAGAAAAUGUUAUGCCAAAAAAACACAACUUUUUUUUUAUAAAAACGUUGUUGUUUAAGUGUCAUCUUUUUACUGAUUUGUAGUAGUGGCCCUGCUGCUUCAUUUAGUUCCGUACAUGACUGUUUCUAACAACAAAACAGAGCUAAAAAUGUGCUCAUGUUUCAUUUUCUUUAACAUAUGACAACACAAGAACCAUUAGUUAAUUAACAUCAAAUUAAGAUGCUGCUACCAUCAAGUCAAAAAUAAUAACAAUAACACAAAAAUAACAACAAUAACACAAAAAGAGCAAAAUGCUCUGUUGUUUCAUUUCCUUUAAUCCAUAAACACAGCCAUACAUGAUUUACAAUCAUCCACUCUUAGACAACUCUGAAUUCACAACACAAAUAACGAAACAAAAAGUGUUUCCCCAAUGUUGUUCUACAUUAUUAUUACUAAAACAUACAGAAAAAUGAACUAUGAACAAAUUAAAUUAUCCACAUUUUCUUGAGUUUUUCAGCUGAUUGAACAUUUUUCAUGAUCAACUCUUUUACCAUUUUUAACUCACUUCCAUCUUCAAUCAAGCUACGUUUUUGUACUUCUUCAUUAGCAGCUAUGAGCUCAUCCCUCAAUUUUUUGAUAACUUCACUUGAUCUUUCAGUGAAUCCACUUGAAAAAUCCACAAUACCUAUUUUUAUCCUUGUCAACAAAACAAUAAAACAAUAUUUGUGAGGGAAAAUUAGCUAAAACCAACGAAUCUGGUGAGGAAAAAUUAGCUACAACCAAAUAAAUUCAAGAGGAAAAAUAUCUUGCUCAUUGACUUACCUUGUAUCUGUAACAUCUAACAAAUCUUCUACCUGGAUCUAGAGUUCCUUCUUUCAUAGCUUCCCACAUAGGUGCAACGAUUCCACAACGACAAACGAUUGGAGAAGAAAACGAGGACUCGCACUCAGAAUCUGAAGAUUUACUCACCGAUUUCCUUUUGUAAGAAGUGUCCACUCCACUUGAGGUAGUCAUCUCAAGAAACGCAACAAUGAAUUAUUAGUAUCAAUUGAUUUUUUGUUCGACUGAAUGCAAGAACAACCAUAAACCUUAAUUUUACUCCCUUCUGAACCUAUUCGUUAUUUAUCUGGAAUGAUUUGGUGGGGUGGAUCGGAUCUUUGUUGGGUAGGUUAGUUUUCCAUGGGCGGGUUAUAGCUUAGGUGUUAAAAUCAAUUACAGGUAGGCUCCAGUUAGGAUUAAGUGGGACCCUUCAUUUUACACGUCACUUUCCCGUUCAAUUAAUUGACGUCUGUUACAAAAAUUCAAAUAUUCAAAUUUUUGUUAGUAAAAAGUAGUUCAGUAAGUUGACUGUAAGAAAAAAAAAGUUUAAUGACUCAUUUGUAAGUUGACGUAAAUUUAAUGACUUAGAAAGUAUUUA